CAGUGGCGGACGGGUGAGUAACGCGUAGGAAUCUAGUCCUUGGAAUCGGGGGAGACCGUGGGAAACUACGGCUAAUACCGCAUGAUGCCUGAGGGCCAAAGACGUAAAGUCGUUUGAGGAGGUAGCCUGCGUCUGAUUAGGUAGUUGGUGGGGUAAAGGCCUACCCAAGCCUACGAUCAGUAGCUGGUCUGAGAGGAUGAUCAGCCACAUUGGGACUGAGACACGGCCCAAACUCCUACGGGAGGCAGCAGUGGGGAAUAUUGGACAAUGGGCGCAAGCCUGAUCCAGCAAUGCCGCGUGGGUGAAGAAGGUCUUCGGAUUGUAAAGCCCUUUUGGCGGGGACGAUGAUGACGGUACCCGCAGAAUAAGCUCCGGCUAACUUCGUG
rnacentral:rRNA from 1 species